CUUAGAGGGACCUUUGUGUGGAACGCAUUCGAUUUGGAGCAAUAACAGGUCUGUGAUGCCCUUAGAUGUCCGGGGCUGCACGCGCGCUACAAUGAAUGCAUCAGCGUGUGUUAUUCCUCGCCCGAAAGGGUCGGGUAACCCACUGAACCGCAUUCGUGGUAGGGAUCGUGGAUUGUAAUUAGUCCACCNGAACGAGGAAUUCCCAGUAAGCGCGAG
rnacentral:rRNA from 1 species